GACGUAGGGGGCCAGCGUUGUUCGGAAUUACUGGGUGUAAAGGGUUCGUAGGCGGUGCGGCAAGUUGGGAGUGAAAUCUCUGGGCUUAACCCAGAGGCUGCUUCCAAAACUGCUGUGCUUGAGUGUGGGAGAGGCGCGUGGAAUUGCAGGUGUAGCGGUGAAAUGCGUAGAUAUCUGCAGGAACACCCGUGGCGAAAGCGGCGCGCUGGACCGCUACUGACGCUGAGGAACGAAAGCGUGGGGAGCGAACAGG
rnacentral:rRNA from 1 species